rnacentral:lncRNA from 1 species
GAACCUCUUAAGCAAAGGAUUUCUAGUUUCUUCAAGUCUCCUACAACACUUAUAUCAGGCAAACUGCAGCGACACAAACUCAGUGUUCGAAGGUUUGACAGGAGACCAAGUGAUGGAGGCAGUGACCGUAUGUAAGUCAAGUUUACAACUCUGACCUCGAUCAUGCUCUUGAAAAGGUUGUCUGGAAUUGUUACUGGUGAGGUUUCGCAAGGAUCAUCACUAAUAAAAAGAAGUUCGAGCUGAGGACAUUCCAGUACUUUAGGAAGCAAAUUAGGCUUGAUAUCAUGUAUGACGAUUGAAGUGCAAUGCUUUAUUGCACUUCCGUCUGACCAUUCCCUGCAACCAUCAACCUGCUCAUUUGUAGCAGUAAACACAUUUCGUUCAGUAGAUGCAAUUGAUAUGGCGACAUCGCGAACUACAUCAUGCAUAGAAAACAACUCUUUCUUCUGGCUUAUAUGGUCAAGCAACAUACAAGAAGCUUUGAGUGUGCGCACCAAUGUAUGUACUCGAUUUCGUGCUACUUCAAUCUUAUUCACACCUUGAAAUAAACCCAAUCCCAAACCUUAUAUUAUAUUAUGUUUCCAUAUUUCUCCUUUAUAGUGAAGACUCGUACUUCUUCUCUAAUAAAUGCUAAAGUAUUGGCUUAAAUUUUUUAACCGGCACAGUAGACCCUUAAGCUAUAUAUACUAUAAUGUCCCUCUUCUCUCACAGAUUAAACCAAUCUGAUCUCAGAGUGAGUUGAUACCAUGACUUUGCAUCAUUCGUGAUCAAAGGAGCAUCAUUACUAACUAAUAUAGGCUCGAUCAAUAGGCAUGAUAAUAAUUUUUUUUUAUCUACAAACACUAUUUUUCAAAAUAUUUUAUCUUAAGACUAACUAAAUAUUUUUUAACUAUGUAGAUAUAGGUUGUUUGAUCUCUUUUAAAUAGUGGAGAUUACAAACAAACGGAUGCGAAUUAGUAGUGAUGUUGAGUUCAGAAGAUUGAAGUUAAGAAAAUUAAGGGUUUCUUGAUCUAGGGAAAUUUCAAAAGAGAGGCAGUGACCGUAUGUAAGUCAAGUUUACAACUCUGACCUCGAUCAUGCUCUUGAAAAGGUUGUCUGGAAUUGUUACUGGUGAGGUUUCGCAAGGAUCAUCACUAAUAAAAAGAAGUUCGAGCUGAGGACAUUCCAGUACUUUAGGAAGCAAAUUAGGCUUGAUAUCAUGUAUGACGAUUGAAGUGCAAUGCUUUAUUGCACUUCCGUCUGACCAUUCCCUGC